rnacentral:sRNA from 1 species
GAGCAAAAAAGGCAGUCUAAGUGAGCGACUUCCUGUCGCAAACGACUGCAUAGCUAUAUCUUAGA